rnacentral:rRNA from 1 species
CCUGAUGCAGCGACGCCGCGUGAGGGAUGACGGCCUUCGGGUUGUAAACCUCUUUCAGCUCCGACGAAGCGUAAGUGACGGUAGGAGUAGAAGAAGGACCGGCCAACUACGUGCCAGCAGCCGCGGUAAUACGUAGGGUCCGAGCGUUGUCCGGAAUUACUGGGCGUAAAGAGCUCGUAGGUGGUUUGUCGCGUUGUUCGUGAAAACUCACAGCUCAACUGUGGGCGUGCGGGCGAUACGGGCAGACUGGAGUACUGCAGGGGAGACUGGAAUUCCUGGUGUAGCGGUGGAAUGCGCAGAUAUCAGGAGGAACACCGGUGGCGAAGGCGGGUCUCUGGGCAGUAACUGACGCUGAGGAGCGAAAGCGUGGGGAGCGAACAGGAUUAGAUACCCUGGUAGUCCACGCCGUAAACGGUGGGUACUAGGUGUGGGUUUCCUUCCUUGGGAUCCGUGCCGUAGCUAACGCAUUAAGUACCCCGCCUGGGGAGUACGGCCGCAAGGCUAAAACUCAAAGAAAUUGACGGGGGCCCGCACAAGCGGCGGAGCAUGUGGAUUAAUUCGAUGCAACGCGAAGAACCUUACCUGGGUUUGACAUGCACAGGACGCCAGUAGAGAUAUUGGUUCCCUUGUGGCCUG